rnacentral:rRNA from 1 species
UACGGAGGGAGCUAGCGUUGUUCGGAAUUACUGGGCGUAAAGCGCGCGUAGGCGGCUUUGUAAGUUAGAGGUGAAAGCCCGGAGCUCAACUCCGGAACUGCCUUUAAAAACUGCAUCGCUUGAAUCCAGGAGAGGUGAGUGGAAUUCCGAGUGUAGAGGUGAAAUUCGUAGAUAUUCGGAAGAACACCAGUGGCGAAGGCGACUUACUGGACACAUAUUGACGCUGAGGUGCGAAAGCGUGGGGAGCGAACAGG